UGGGGAAUAUUGGACAAUGGACCGAGAGUCUGAUCCAGCAAUUCUGUGUGCACGAUGAAGUUUUUCGGAAUGUAAAGUGCUUUCAGUUGGGAAGAAAGAAAUGACGGUACCAACAGAAGAAGUGACGGCUAAAUACGUGCCAGCAGCCGCGGUAAUACGUAUGUCACGAGCGUUAUCCGGAUUUAUUGGGCGUAAAGCGCGUCUAGGUGGUUAUAUAAGUCUGAUGUGAAAAUGCAGGGCUCAACUCUGUAUUGCGUUGGAAACUGUAUAACUAGAGUACUGGAGAGGUAAGCGGAACUACAAGUGUAGAGGUGAAAUUCGUAGAUAUUUGUAGGAAUGCCGAUGGGGAAGCCAGCUUACUGGACAGAUACUGACGCUGAAGCGCGAAAGCGUGGGUAGCAAACAGGAUUAGAUACCCUGGUAGUCCACGCUGUAAACGAUGAUUACUAGGUGUUGGGGGUCGAACCUCAGCGCCCAAGCAAACGCGAUAAGUAAUCUGCCUGGGGAGUACGUACGCAAGUAUG
rnacentral:rRNA from 1 species